ensembl:snoRNA
GUUGAGGUCUAUCCCGACGGGGCUUUUUCUAUAAACCUGCAUCGUUGGAAACACCUCAUAGUGCAACUCUGUGGUUUCCUUUACUCAUAGAACUAAACUACAUGUUAGAUCUGUGGGGAAGAACUACAAGACAGCU